UCUAAUAUGGCAGAUUAGUGCAAUGGAUUUAAGCUCCAUAAAUAAAGUCUAUAUACUUUUUUUUAGAA
rnacentral:tRNA from 1 species